UUGAGAUUUGAGCCAAUAGGAAGGCAUGGGGGAGUGGAAAUCCCGCCUCCAUGUAAUAUUUCAUUCGGCAGAUGCCUGCUUUUUUUUUUUUUUCUUUUUCAACUGAGCUACAUAGCUGUUGCAAUGUUGGAGAACUAUAUAUUUCUUAUAUAUCAAACUGAAAUUUUGCAUUGACGCUUCCCAGUAUAUACUGCUGCAUAAUAUUUUUAUUUUGUGUAGCAAGAACGGAUUUUGUCUACUGCAGAGGAUUGACACCAAACAGAAGAGACACCAGCAGUGCUCCUGGAACCCCUCUUCCUUGACUCACUUGAUCAAGAUUUCCCUAAUCAGGGAAUGGCGAGCCACCUAAACAAUUGCAUGCAGAAUAAUUGAACAUCUCCCUCAGGAUACCCACCUAUGCGGCAGGACUGAUAUAACUUGUGGGUAGGAUUUGAAACAGAAAGAACCCUUUUGUAAGAAACACAGAAAACUGUAAAUCAAUUUAUUCCAUUUAUGUCAUUAAUUCAUUUACAUUUUAUUGCUACUCUGUAUUUUACUUUAAUCAAUAGUUCAUAAGUAAAGCCGGCUACUUAAGUGUACUUAUGUA